AUGUCCCCACUUUCAGAACACGUGACUGCUCCCUUCCUUUUUUUUCCACCAUGAAUUUCAAGGUGUUUGAUUUGUGUUUUAUGAAAGCAUCUGGGUUGGUUUGCACGGAAAUGAAAUCAGAAUAAGCAGUUUUGUCACUGUAGCAGCUUCUCUCAACCCUAAGAUCUCCAGAGCAUCCUCAAGCAAGUUCUGCCUGGCAUUACCUGCUUCCAGACCAGCAAUUUGAAGUAGGAAGGCAGCAAUAAAAAUAACAUCACUCUGCUGAUAAAAACUCUUCUAUUUUUAUCAGGAAGGGCUUCCUAACAGCAGCCUCCUGAAGGAGUUAUUACACUUCCAGUCAUGCAGGUUUCUAGGGCUGCUUUUUUCUGAUUUCUGCUUGGAGCCUCUCUCUGUACCAACAGAGUUAAGGCCAUCGUUGCCUUUCUGCAUUGCUUCUCCCACACCUUUUACUGGAAGGCACAGCUUGAAAGCUGUGGGGUUUGAGAAGAUCUGCACAGUUUAACACUUAAAGCGUUUACGAGUCAAAUGUAGACACAGCACGUUGCAGAAGCGCCAUCCAGUGGAGCAGAAAACUCCGUGUGGCUGCUGCCGUAUUCCAUUGAUGGAUGCGAGCAGGGCUGCUGCCCGGGUUUGUUAUUUCUAUUCGAAUAACGCUGUAACAGCAAGUUUGUCUUCAAACAAAUGAAAAGCUGCUCAGUUCCAGAAGGAAGACGCUGUCAGGAUCCAUAGAAUAAACACCAGGCAUUUUACUGCUGGUCCCCACAUUUCCUUAACUGUGUAAAGACCAUUAGUUCUUUUCUUUUUAUUUUGGAAACCAGCUUAUAUUUACAGAGGCCUUUAGUAAUUAUGGGGAGGUCAAUCUAACUAAAACCUUUAUAGACUUCAGUAGAUUUUGUUUGACUUUGGUGGUGGCUUCAAACCUUCUGAACUGAUAGGAAGGUGGUGCUACUCAUGUUUCAAAAUGUCAAGGACUAUUUUUUCAUGUAAAGUAAUUAAGUUACUAAGCUAAAGCUAGAGUUAAAACUAUUUUUCCACUCCUGAUACACUGUUAGUGUUACCAACAAUGCACCAACUCACUUGUAACUGCCGAGUUGAACUCACCACUUCCCUGUGUUCACCCAAGGCAGAAUAAAACUUGCUGCCCCAUGGCCUUCUGUAAGAUUGCAUAAAGAAAAAUAUUUAAUCUAAUUGAACAGCUGGAUGAAAAAUAAUCUGAACUAAAGGAGCAUAGUUUUCACUCUGUUUAUGUGCUUACAGAAUUCACUUAUUUUGCAGAGUGGGGUCUCCACGGAUUACUCACCUUCUGGGAUUUGACUCCAGGCUGGUUUCCUCUGCCAAACUCAGCGUAAUUAUUGAGGAGGAGGAAGCAGCUAUGGCACAGUGUGGGACCUCACACUACACAUGCAAGAUACAGGCAACACUUUCACAGCCAGUCCACCCAGGAGCUGAUCUGCUGAAACAGGGACUCGAGAACUCGGUCAGAUGGUGCUCAAAGGGCAAAGAUUUCAAAGCAACAAUCAGAGUGGCUCAGCAGAGGAAGGGCUGGUGGUGCUUGGAACAGCCUUCACAGGGACAUGGCUGGGAGAGUUACCAUGGGAACGGGAGGAAAGGAGUUUCACCGUCUUUGUGAUGUGCAAACCCGACUUUCUACAGACUGACUCGUGCUGCAGAACUGGAAAAAGGUUGAUUUCUUUUUUUCCUUAUAAAACAAAAAGUGUAAAACCAGAAAAUUUUCAGAUGAAAACACACAGUGCCUUUUCAGGAGUCAGUCAAAUGUCCCUUUCCAUGCUGCUAAUUCUACAGUUUUCAGAAGGAGGCAAUUAUUGCCUCCCAAACUCACCUUGCAAAGCUUCAUAUCUACACAGAAAUGAAAGUAUAAAUAGAAUCUCAUAGUUUGCACAUCCCCUCAGCCUCCUAAUUUGACACCCUUUGUCUAGCACUGUUUGCACAGAAAACAGCUGCAUGGGUGCUGUGGGGAGGGGAGGAGAUCAGAGGUAUCCUGACACGAUUACCUUCACUGUUACAUCAUCCUGGAAUCCCCACAGCACCCUCACAGCUGGGAUCUGCUCUGUAUGGAACCCCCUUCACACAGCCCUAACUUUUUGGGAAAAGCCAUGCAAUUUGGACAUCCUGGGAGAGGAGACUAGGACCAGGCAUGACUAAAGCCUGGCCACUGCCUGAGCUGCACAUGGAACUAGGUCUGUUCUUGUUGUAUAAUAACAGUAGAUUUGAUGAACUGCAGAUAGUUUGGCACUGCUUGACACAAAUCCCAUUACUGCAGUUUAACCACAGGAUCCAAACCAGCAUCUCACCUGUACAGAGAUGAGAGAGGUCUGCACACAGGUGUUUAGCUCCAUAAAACUGAGACCAGUCUUAAAAUAAUUAAUGCUGUCUUAUGCCAAAUAGCAAAUGAAAUAUUAGUAAAAUCUCCCCACAAAGACUUAAGAUGGGAAAAUAAAGUAAAAUGGCCUU